GACGAACGCUGGCGGCGUGCUUAACACAUGCAAGUCGAACGGAAAGGCCCUGCUUUCGUGGGGUGCUCGAGUGGCGAACGGGUGUGUAACACGUGAGUAACCUGCCCUUGACUUUGGGAUAACUUCAGGAAACUGGGGCUAAUACCGGAUAGGAGCUCCUGCUGCAUGGUGGGGGUUGGAAAGUUUCGGCGGUUGGGGAUGGACUCGCGGCUUAUCAGCUUGUUGGUGGGGUAGUGGCUUACCAAGGCGUUGACGGGUAGCCGGCCUGAGAGGGUGACCGGCCACAUUGGGACUGAGAUACGGCCCAGACUCCUACGGGAGGCAGCAGUGGGGAAUAUUGCACAAUGGGCGGAAGCCUGAUGCAGCAACGCCGCGUGCGGGAUGACGGCCUUCGGGUUGUAAACCGCUUUCGCCUGUGACGAAGCGUGAGUGACGGUAAUGGGUAAAGAAGCACCGGCUAACUACGUG
rnacentral:rRNA from 1 species